CUUACCGAUGGCGACCGGCGCACGGGUGAGUAACACGUAUCCAACCUGCCGAUAACUCGGGGAUAGCCUUUCGAAAGAAAGAUUAAUAUCCGAUAGGAUAUCAAGAUCGCAUGAUCUUGAUAUUAAAGAAUUUCGGUUAUCGAUGGGGAUGCGUUCCAUUAGUUAGUUGGCGGGGUAACGGCCCACCAAGACGACGAUGGGUAGGGGUUCUGAGAGGAAGGUCCCCCACAUUGGAACUGAGACACGGUCCAAACUCCUACGGGAGGCAGCAG
rnacentral:rRNA from 1 species